UGAGGAGGGAGGGAUUCUGGAGUUCAGUGGCGGACCUGUUGAAUUGGAGGUAUCUAUUGGGCAUCCGAGUGGCAGUGUCCCGUAGGCAGUUAUCCAUGCACAGUUCGGGAGAGAGGUCUGGGCUGGAGUCAUAGGCACGUGUGUGGACUUUUCACUUUACCCAUGAGUUUGCAUGAGAUCACCAGGGGAAUGAGUGUGGCUAUAGUAGAGGCAAUCACCAAGAGCUGAGCCUUGGAGCUUCCCAACGCUAGAGGUUAGGAAGAGGAGAAGGAGGGAGCAAAGAGAUUGAAAAGAAGUGACCUUUGAGGCGACAAGAGAUUGUGAUGUGCCAGGAGCCAAGUGAAGAAAGGCUAUCGAGGAGAAGGGAAAGAUUGCAAUAUCAGAUGCUGCUUAUAGCUCAAAGGAGCUGAGGGCUGGGAAUCGACCCCCGGGUUCAUCUAUGUGGAGGUCAUUGUUGACCUUGCUGAGCAGUUCAGUACAGCGAUAGGGAUGAAAGACGGCUUACAGAAGGGUUAAGAGAGAACGGGAGAAGACAACUCUUACAAGGAGUUCUGCUACACAAGGGGGCAAAUAGAUGAGACACUAGCGAGCAGAAGAAGUAGGAGGUGUUGUAUAGAGGGCCUUGAAUGCUGGGCUAAAGAGUAGCUGGAAUUUAUGGAGUUAAGUAACCUUUUAAGAGGUGACGUGCACUGGAGCCAGACUACCUAUGUUAACUAAUGUGACCUAAGACAAGCUGCUCACUUGUGCCUCAUUUUCUACUUUGUGUAAUGAGAAUAAAAGGAAUAUUUACUUCUUAGAAGCUUGCCUGAAUUAAUUAACCAAUAUAAAGAGCUCAGCAGUGUAUUUGCCUCACAGUAUUCAAAAAACUUGGGUGUUUUUAUUAGCAGUAUUUUUUUUGUAAAGAUUGGCACCUGAGCUAACAACUGUUGCCAAUCUUUCUUUUUCUGCUUUUUCUCCUGAAAUCCCUCCAGUAUAUAGUUAUAUAUAUUUUUUUUAGUUGUGGGUCCUUCCAGUUGUGGCAUGUGGGACGCCACCUCAACAUGGCCCUACGAGCUGUGCCGUGUCCGCACCCAGGACCCGAACCGGUAAAACCCUGGGCCUCCCUAGCGGAGCGCAGGAACUUAACCACUCGGCCACGGGGUCGGCCCCAGUGGUAUUAUGAUCAAUAUAUCAAAUGCCAAUGUUAUCUCCAUCUCAUUCGUAUUAUGUUUCCAAUGCCAUAUUACUUUUCCACCUGGAAAUCAGUGGCCGUCAGUCUUCCUCGGUAUCUGUGGCACUGCAAAGGGCACAGAAAUAAUUCCAGAACAUCUUUUCUCACUUUCAGGUGAGGUCAGCUCAACUUUAAGUAUGCUUGGUUUCAUUUAAGGGAAACAAGCUGGCAUGUGGGACAGAAUUCUCUUCCUGCAUCUCAGUCCAGGAGGCCCAGGAAGAAAACAAACUCUUACCCAGUUUAUUUUCCAUACCUGCUGUCUGUUCACUUGUAGGAUGACCCUGGACCUCUGCAGUUGAUGUUAACUGCUCCUGCUGACAAAGGUCCCACUUCAGUGUCUUGGUUUUCCUGGAUCCAUAGCUUCUAAAAUUGUAUAGUUAAUAAAUAUAGCAAUAAUAAUUUUCCUUCCAUUUCAGUUGGCUUCACAUCUUAGAAUCUGGCCUUGGCCCGGGCUUCUUUUUCACUUCUGACCUAAAACAUUUCACGGGGUAACUUGGCUCUGGUAGAAAGGGUUUCAUAUGAAACGUUAGAACCCCUCUCCCUCCAUAAAACCAUUUCUUAAGCUGCUUAAGACUUCUUUGAAGGGUUUCAUGAGUUAUUUUCACAUGUAGCUGCAUCCUGUGUAAGAGAAACAGAUUGGUUGCAAGAAAAGCUGCUUCUGUAGUAUUUCCAACUAAAGCCAAUAUGCACUGGCUUUGUCACAAGCAAGCUUUUUAUCUUGAGAUUUCCAGUCUCGAUUUCUCAACCAAAGGAGCUCAGAUAAGCUUCAGAGAACGCAGCCCCCCUCAGCUGUCUUUACUCCUCUUUUGAUGUUCAUCCCUCGUUGCACCCAGGCAGCGCAGUUCUGUCUCUUGUUGCAUCUCCUAUAACCUUCACAAAAUGAUUGCUUUUAUGUAAUCUCUGCCUUAAGUCACAUUCCCCUCCAGCCAGGGCCACAGUGAACAAGGAAUUUCCCCUGGAGGGAAGUUCUUAGGGAGAGUCAGAGUGGCCUGGAUUCUGAAUAAUCAGGUAACAUAUAGAAAGGAUGCCAUUAAUUGGGUAAUUGUUAACGGAGGCGGUGAUGUUUAAGCUGGAAGCCCAGCUAUGAUACCACAGACCAGACCUAGCUGAAAGGAUGAGACUCA
ensembl:lncRNA